AAGAGUUGGGUCGUUUCCCGAAGGGGGCUUUCCUUCCAAUCUGAAAACUAUUAUCGUUAUUAAUUGUGAUAAACUCUUUGCCGGUCGGAUGGGAUGGGGUUUGCAAGAACUCCCGUCUCUUAGAGAUUUGAGAAUCGGUGGCAAAUCUGAAGACGUGGAGUCAUUUCCAGAGCCAGAGUUGCUGCCUUCUUGUCUGACUAAUCUUCAUAUAUCUUCAUCUCCAAAUAUGAAAUCUUUGGACACGAGAGGGCUUCAACACCUCACAUCUCUUCAAGAAUUGUCGGUCAGGCACUGCCGUAAGCUGGAGUACAUGCCAAAAGAAGGGUUGCCUACCUCCCUAUCUAUAAUAAACAUCCGAAAUUGCCCUUUGUUGAGGAAACGGUGGAAAAGCAAGAAAGAAAAAGAACGGCGAAAGAUUCCUAACGUCGAACACAUAUUGAUUGAUGAUGAAGAAUAUAUUGGAUGAGCCAAAAAGCCCCGUCGUAAGAGUCCCAUUUUCUGUUAUAAUAUCUCAAAGGCAGCAACAACAUAUUCAGAAGAUCAAAGAGCGUGGGUCACAAUUACAAGAAGCAAAUAGAAUGUAUGAUCCUGCGAGGCAUAUAUCAACUCUUGAAGGAUUUCUUAUAACUGGGGAGUUUUCUCUUAAGAAGACGGGUUGCGUACAUCGCUUUCUUCUAUGUGGACCAACAAAUGCUCUUUGUUGAAGAAACAAAGAAGGGCGGAAGAUUCCUGAAUAUUAUAUUGGAUGAGCUCAGAUUACGAGUACAAGCAUCAAAGAUGGACAUAUAGAAUAUGUGCUUCCAAUUGGAUCAUUGGCUAAUUAUUGUAACUACUUGGAUGUUCUUCCAUUACUUCACCGUUCACCGUUCUUCAUAUCUCUAAAUUUCCAAGCAUGAAAUCUUUGGACAAGAAGGGGCUUCAACAACUGACAAAUUGAUUGAAUGAGCUAAAAUUCUGAAUACAGGAGAUGGAAAAGCUUGGUUAUGAAUACACAAAGCAGAGGCUUGCAUAUACACGUUGUAGGCUCAAAAAUACCAAUCAAUACCUUUUCUUCGGAUAGCUGCUAUGUGGGAAGAAGAAGAAAAGAUUCAUUUGGAUGAAUGGGUUUUUGAGUUAAAGACAAAAUGGAAGCCUCCUUUAAUGAUGACAGCAAUGGACCUUUCGAUUCUACUGUGUCACCAACACAUUCAGCAUCAAGCUCAUGAGGCAUCUCAGCCCUCAUUGUUGAGCAAAGGGGUGCCCGAAGAUCUGAGAUAUCUUCAUCUGCAAUCCAAAUAUCAGGCAAAUGAUGCUGCUGAGGCCCACUAAAUUAUUGUUGGUGACAUCUUUGAAUUUGCAUUCUCACCAUUUGGUUCUCUGUAAAAGAUGUCCUCAUGUUUUAAGGUGGUGAACAGUCAACAUUCAAACUUUGACCAAAAUUAUCAUUGGAGACAGGAAAAUGGAAAACUUCCCAUGAAGCUUGUGAAGAUCAUGAGGGAUUUGUUGGUAUUUUUGACAUAUUGAAAAUGUUCUGUUUCAAUAUUUCACCAAUUGAGAGUCGGUGACUAGUGCUUAAUUUAGCUUUGAUUUUCAAUUCUAUUAGUUCCUUUGUCUGGAUGCAAGUUGUACAUUAUUUUCUAGGAAUGCAUGAACAGAUGUUGAUUUUGGUGUGUUGAGAUAUAUAUCAUUUUAAACGUACU